rnacentral:rRNA from 1 species
UGGAAAGAUGAAUCAAAGAAGGUAAUAAUCCUGUAGUCGAAAAUGUUGUCUCUCUUGAGUGGAUCCUGAGUACGACGGAGCACGUGAAAUUCCGUCGGAAUCUGGGAGGACCAUCUCCUAAGGCUAAAUACUCUCUAGUGACCGAUAGUGAACCAGUACCGUGAGGGAAAGGUGAAAAGCACCCCGGAAGGGGAGUGAAAUAGAACCUGAAACCGUGUGCUUACAAGUAGUCAGAGCCCGUUAAUGGGUGAUGGCGUGCCUUUUGUAGAAUGAACCGGCGAGUUACGAUUUGAUGCAAGGUUAAGCAGUAAAUGUGGAGCCGUAGCGAAAGCGAGUCUGAAUAGGGCGUUUAGUAUUUGGUCGUAGACCCGAAACCAGGUGAUCUACCCUUGGUCAGGUUGAAGUUCAGGUAACACUGAAUGGAGGACCGAACCGACUUACGUUGAAAAGUGAGCGGAUGAACUGAGGGUAGCGGAGAAAUUCCAAUCGAACCUGGAGAUAGCU